rnacentral:rRNA from 1 species
ACUGGGACUGAGACACGGCCCAGACUCCUACGGGAGGCAGCAGUGGGGAAUUUUGGACAAUGGGGGCAACCCUGGCGGCGAGCGGCGAACGGGUGAGUAAUGCAUCGGAACGUAUCCUGGAGUGGGGGAUAACCCAGCGAAAGUUGGGCUAAUACCGCAUGAGCUCUGAGGAGGAAAGCGGGGGACUCGCAAGAGCCUCGCGCUGCAGGAGCGGCCGAUGUCCGAUUAGCUAGUUGGUGGGGUAAAGGCCUACCAAGGCGACGAUCGGUAGCUGGUCUGAGAGGAUGAUCAGCCACACUGGGACUGAGACACGGCCCAGACUCCUACGGGAGGCAGCAGUGGGGAAUUUUGGACAAUGGGGGCAACCCUGAUCCAGCCAUGCCGCGUGAGUGAAGAAGGCCUUCGGGUUGUAAAGCUCUUUCGGACGGAACGAAAUGGUUACGGUCAAUACCCGUGACUGAUGACGGUACCGUAAGAAGAAGCACCGGCUAACUACGUGCCAGCAGCCGCGGUAAUACGUAGGGUGCGAGCGUUAAUCGGAAUUACUGGGCGUAAAGCGUGCGCAGGCGGUUUCGUAAGCUGGAGGUGAAAUCCCCGGGCUCAACCUGGGAAUGGCCUUCAGGACUGCGAGGCUAGAGUGCGGCAGAGGGAGGUGGAAUUCCACGUGUAGCAGUGAAAUGCGUAGAUAUGUGGAGGAACACCGAUGGCGAAGGCAGCCUCCUGAGCCAGCACUGACGCUCAUGCACGAAAGCGUGGGAGCAAACAGGAUUAGAUACCCUGGUAGUCCACGCCCUAAACGAUGUCAACUAGGUGUUGGGGAAGGUGACUUCCUUAGUACCGCAGCUAACGCGUGAAGUUGACCGCCUGGGGAGCACGGCCGCAAGGUUAAAACUCAAAGGAAUUGACGGGGACCCGCACAAGCGGUGGAUGAUGUGGAUUAAUUCGAUGCAACGCGAAAAACCUUACCUACCCUUGACAUGCCAGGAACUCUGCUGAGAGGUGGAGGUGCCCGAAAGGGAGCCUGGACACAGGUGCUGCAUGGCUGUCGUCAGCUCGUGUCGUGAGAUGUUGGGUUAAGUCCCGCAACGAGCGCAACCCUUGUCGUUAAUUGCCAUCAUUUAGUUGGGCACUUUAGCGAGACUGCCGGUGACAAACCGGAGGAAGGUGGGGAUGACGCCAAGUCCUCAUGGCCCUUAUGGGUAGGGCUUCACACGUCAUACAAUGGCGCAUACAGAGGGUUGCGAAGCCGCGAGGUGAAGCCAAUCCCAGAAAGUGCGUCGUAGUCCGGAUUGCAGUCUGCAACUCGACUGCAUGAAGUCGGAAUCGCUAGUAAUCCGGAUCAGCAUGUCGCGGUGAAUACGUUCCCGGGUCUUGUACACACCGCCCGUCACACCAUGGGAGUGGGUUCCACCAGAAGCAGGUAGCCUAACCGCAAGGGGGGCGCCUACCACGGUGAGAUUCAUGACUGGGGUGAAGUCGAAACAAGGUA